GAGAAGCUUCGACUAAGGUUCGACUCGAGCGAAGCGAGAGAACGUUGCCGCAGGCAACGGCCCGAAGGGCGAGGAGCGAUAGCGACGAGUU
rnacentral:sRNA from 1 species